rnacentral:rRNA from 1 species
GUGCCAGCGCCGCGGUAAUACGUAGGUGGCAAGCGUUGUCCGGAUUUAUUGGGUUUAAAGGGUGCGUAGGUGGUCUAUUAAGUCAGUGCUGAAAUAUCCCGGCUUAACCGGGAGGGUGGCAUUGAUACUGAUGGACUUGAGUAAAGUUGAGGUGGGCGGAAUUGACGGUGUAGCGGUGAAAUGCUUAGAUAUCGUCAAGAACACCUAUUGCGAAGGCAGCUCACUAAGCUUUAACUGACACUGAGGCACGAAAGUGUGGGGAUCAAACAGG